rnacentral:sRNA from 1 species
AGGACCCAGGGCCAGCCGUUGGCAGAGAGGUGACCAAGAAACGUACAUGGGGACCAGGCUUGGCUGUGGGGCAGAGCUGCCAGGGGUUGGCUAGGCUGUCGGACAGGGAGGGUGUGGUAUGGAUGUGUUGACCCCUGAGGUGAUUCUGAUGACCUUUCCCUAUCUCACUUUCCUCAGACAUCAUCAUGAUGGAGGACCUGCCUGGCCUAGCCCCAGGCCCAGCCCCCAGCCCCACAGUAGCCCCUGACCCAGCCCCAGAUGCCUACCGUCCAGUGGGGCUGACCAAGGCCGUGCUGUCCCUGCACACACAGAAGGAGGAGCAAGCCUUCCUCAGCCGCUUCCGAGACCUGGGCAGGCUGCGUGGACUCGACAGCUCUUCCACAGCUCCCUCAGCCCUUGGCGAGCGAGGCUGCCACCACGGCCCCGCACCCCCAAGCCGCCGACACCACUGCCGAUCCAAAGCCAAGCGCUCACGCCACCACCAGAACCCUCGGGCUGAAGCGCCCUGCUAUGUCUCACACCCCUCAC